UAACACAUGCAAGUCGAGCGGAUGAAGGGAGCUUGCUCCUGGAUUCAGCGGCGGACGGGUGAGUAAUGCCUAGGAAUCUGCCUGGUAGUGGGGGAUAACGUCCGGAAACGGGCGCUAAUACCGCAUACGUCCUGAGGGAGAAAGUGGGGGAUCUUCGGACCUCACGCUAUCAGAUGAGCCUAGGUCGGAUUAGCUAGUUGGUGGGGUAAAGGCCUACCAAGGCGACGAUCCGUAACUGGUCUGAGAGGAUGAUCAGUCACACUGGAACUGAGACACGGUCCAGACUCCUACGGGAGGCAGCAGUGGGGAAUAUUGGACAAUGGGCGAAAGCCUGAUCCAGCCAUGCCGCGUGUGUGAAGAAGGUCUUCGGAUUGUAAAGCACUUUAAGUUGGGAGGAAGGGCAGUAAGUUAAUACCUUGCUGUUUUGACGUUACCAACAGAAUAAGCACCGGCUAACUUCGUGCCAGCAGCCGCGGUAAUACGAAGGGUGCAAGCGUUAAUCGGAAUUACUGGGCGUAAAGCGCGCGUAGGUGGUUCAGCAAGUUGGAUGUGAAAUCCCCGGGCUCAACCUGGGAACUGCAUCCAAAACUACUGAGCUAGAGUACGGUAGAGGGUGGUGGAAUUUCCUGUGUAGCGGUGAAAUGCGUAGAUAUAGGAAGGAACACCAGUGGCGAAGGCGACCACCUGGACUGAUACUGACACUGAGGUGCGAAAGCGUGGGGAGCAAACAGGAUUAGAUACCCUGGUAGUCCACGCCGUAAACGAUGUCGACUAGCCGUUGGGAUCCUUGAGAUCUUAGUGGCGCAGCUAACGCGAUAAGUCGACCGCC
rnacentral:rRNA from 1 species